rnacentral:rRNA from 1 species
CAGCCGCCACGGGAAUACGUAGGUGGCAAGCGUUGUCCGGAAUUAUUGGGCGUAAAGGGCUCGCAGGCUGUUUCUUAAGUCUGAUGUGAAAGCCCCCGGCUCAACCGGGGAGGGUCAUUGGAAACUGGGAAACUUGAGUGCAGAAGAGGAGAGUGGAAUUCCACGUGUAGCGGUGAAAUGCGUAGAGAUGUGGAGGAACACCAGUGGCGAAGGCGACUCUCUGGUCUGUAACUGACGCUGAGGAGCGAAAGCGUGGGGAGCGAACAGGAUUAGAUACCCGAGUAGUCCCUGUCUCUUAUAC